rnacentral:misc_RNA from 1 species
UCCCGGUUCACCCGGGCAGUCUCGCUAGAGUUCCCACCAUUACGUGCUGGCAACUAACGAUAAGGGUUGCGCUCGUUGCGGGACUUAACCCAACACCUCACGGCACGAGCUGACGACAGCCAUGCAGCACCUGUGCAGCGGUUCUUACGAACGCAUACAUUUCUGCAUACUUCCACUGCAUGUCAAGACCAGGUAAGGUUCUUCGCGUUGCAUCGAAUUAAACCACAUGCUCCACUGCUUGUGCGGGUCCCCGUCAAUUCUUUUGAGUUUUACCCUUGCGAGCGUACUCCCCAGGUGGUGUACUUAUCGCGUUAGCUACGGCACAACUGGGGUUGAGUCCAGUUACACCAAGUACACAUCGUUUACGGCAAGGACUAC